UAGGAAUUAUAGGAAAUAUGGGGAAAGGAGUGACAGAUGAAGAUGGGGACAGAGAGAGGGAUGGGCAGAGAGUGCCUGUAGGCAACAGCAGACAUUGACUCAGUCAGGAGUUGAGGGGAGAGAGGACUGAAAGAUGCAAUAGGAUAAUGGUGCAGUACUAGAUUAUAUAGAGUGUAGAGCAGAGAGGGGGAGUGGGGAAGAUGGUGUGUGGCUGGAUUAGAGGAGGAGGGUGGAGGAGUCAGAACAGAAGGACAGAUUUGACUCAGAAAGCUCAAUAGAUUACAGAUUUGUGAGCUGGUGGUUGGUCAGUACUUGCUGGCAGUGUUAUAUUCUCUCUCUGCCACUCUCUUUCUUUCUUUCUCUCUCUGUCUCUCUCUCCACUUCACUCUCUCUCUCUCUGCACAACUUUAUGGCAGAGUGAGCUCUGUGGCUGAGUGUAGUCUGUCAGCGCAAACUGAGAGGGUAAAAGGGAGAGGCAGGAGAGCUGAUGAGGUGCUUUUAACUGGACCUGUUUUUCCUUGCUUUGGAAUGUGACUCACUCAAUUCAAGAAUCUUCAGUGACUCAAUCACUGACGGGAUACUUCUCUCACUAAGAAUAUCAGGUGGAAUUCAAUCUGAAAAUAACUCUUUGAUUGAAAUGGGAACGGAGCAAUGGGAGCGGAGCAUCCAAAUUCUGCAGCAUGUGGUCUCCUCUCCAGCUCCCAUCAACUCCCAGGAGAAGAUGAAGGGAGCUUUGAGUCUCUCAGACGGAAGGUUGAAGCACAUCCCUAACACCCAGACAGAUCUAAAGAACUUGGGAACCUCCCAGCCAUCAGGAGAAUCAUCUUGUUCUUGGAGUUUAUUCACAAGGUUUGUCAUAUGAUGAGCCUGGUGGACAUGGAUACAACCAUACUCCAUGGCAGGACAUUUCCCUGCAUCCAGCUUGAGGCCUACUACCAGCAGGAACAUGGAGCACUCCAUGUGCUAGAGACAGAAUAUUCCAAGGACCUCCAGAGCCUUCCGACCAACUACUCUCCAGAGCACAGAAAAGUAACCUCCGCUGGUGGGUGUCCAGUAUGAUGACUGCCAUGGGGGACUGUCCAUGGAUCACCGUGGAGACCUGUGAUUGACAGACAGGCGCUAGCCCCCGUCUGUCUGGCUGGCUGGCAGGCCAUCAUUACGAUGAGCAGGCGCAGAUUUGCUAUGCUGGCGACAGGACCGUAUGGAAAAUGUCAACGACCAUCAGAGCCCCAGACAAACUUCCUCCCCUCCCCCAAGUACCUCACCUAAUGUCACCUAAUGUCACCUAAUGCCCAUGCUCGUCAUCCAGACCCCACGUACUAACAACACAGCCUCACAUACUUCAUCCACACUCAUUUACAAACCACAUGCAAAUAAAUGUACUCUACCCCUAUAUACUUCAUCCAACAACUCAGCUCAACACACCUCACCCAAACCCCCUACAUGGCUCACCCAUCCCUCACAUACCUAACCCAACCCCUAUGUAUCAUCCAACACCCUCACACCUCAUCCAACCACCACAGUACUUCACUCCUUAUGUGCCUCACCCAUCCUCCUUUUUCACCCUUAUUCCCACAUACCUCACCCCAAGCCCCACACCUCA